CGCGCGCGAAUGCGGGAGCUCGCGGCCGGAGCGCCCGGGGAGGCCCGGGCCCACGACGCCCGUGGCUCCGCUGCGGCAGCGGCGGCGCCGGUGGCGCGCGCGGCUGGGAGGCGGCUUCGCGCCGUGGGCGGGAGGCUGCGGCGGGCGACCGGUCCUGGACACGCGAGGAAGAGCGAGCCGAUGGCGCCUGCGGUCUCGCUUCGACCCGGUAACUUACAAGAUGAUAAUUCAUGUGGUUGCCGAUGAUUCUGAGUAUACACAGCUUUUAUCCCAGGUGUGCCAUUUUGAAGACUGAGACUAUAGAGUUUUAAGAAUAAAGGAGAGAGCCCUUGGGAAAUUCUGUAUUGUAUAUAGCAAGAAUGUGAAUCCUUAAAUGGAAUGAAAAGCCUAUACCAUAGACAUCGAAGCCUUUAAAUUUUUUUUCUUCUAAUUUUUUAUGAAGCACCCCGCUUGAAGAGUUUGAAAUGGACUUUACCACAGAAAUCAAGAUGGCAGCCCAUUAUGGGGAAUUGAGGAAAAUGGAUUAAUGCAAGAAUGCUGUAAUAUUACACAACCAACACAGGAUUCUUUUAAUGUGGAUUCCAUGAAAUGAAUGAUUCUUACCCGCUUAUGGACUUAUCCACAAAUGGACAGUGGAAUUUACUUCCUAAAGACAUAUUACAUAUGUACAUUUUUGACAUCUGGAGAAGAUUCUACAAUUCUACAAAUGGUAGUUUGUAUUCCUGGAAUUUCUUGCAGUUUGAUCUGAAGUGACCUUAUGGAAUGUUAACUUUAAUAAAAAUCUCUAAAACUUAAAAAAA
rnacentral:lncRNA from 1 species